rnacentral:rRNA from 1 species
UACAGAGGGUGCAAGCGUUAAUCGGAAUUACUGGGCGUAAAGUGCGCGUAGGUGGUUUGUUAAGUUGAAUGUGAAAGCCCCGGGCUCAACCUGGGAACUGCAUCCAAAACUGGCAAGCUAGAGUAUGGCAGAGGGUGGUGGAAUUUCCUGUGUAGCGGUGAAAUGCGUAGAUAUAGGAAGGAACACCAGUGGCGAAGGCGACCACCUGGACUGAUACUGACACUGAGGUGCGAAAGCGUGGGGAGCAAACAGG